rnacentral:rRNA from 1 species
AUUGAACGCUGGCGGCAUGCUUUACACAUGCAAGUCGAACGGUAACAGGCCGCAAGGUGCUGACGAGUGGCGAACGGGUGAGUAAUGCAUCGGAACGUGCCCAGUCGUGGGGGAUAACUACUCGAAAGAGUAGCUAAUACCGCAUACGAUCUAUGGAUGAAAGCGGGGGACCGUAAGGCCUCGCGCGAUUGGAGCGGCCGAUGUCAGAUUAGGUAGUUGGUGGGGUAAAGGCUCACCAAGCCAACGAUCUGUAGCUGGUCUGAGAGGACGACCAGCCACACUGGGACUGAGACACGGCCCAGACUCCUACGGGAGGCAGCAGUGGGGAAUUUUGGACAAUGGGCGCAAGCCUGAUCCAGCAAUGCCGCGUGCAGGAAGAAGGCCUUCGGGUUGUAAACUGCUUUUGUACGGAACGAAACGGCUCUGGUUAAUACCCGGGGCUAAUGACGGUGCCGUAAGAAUAAGCACCGGCUAACUACGUG